rnacentral:snRNA from 1 species
AGCUUUGCGCAGUGGCAGUAUCGUAGCUAAUGAGGUUUAUCCGAGGCGCGAUUAUUGCUAAUUGAACACAUUAGUUUGCAACCCUGGCUGGACAUUAGAAGCACCGGAAAAGUUUUCUUGGGUCUGCAAUACCUGGGAUCUUUUGCUGAGA